rnacentral:rRNA from 1 species
GGGUUUGAUCCUGGCUCAGGAUGAACGCUGGCGGCGUGCCUGAUACAUGCAAGUCGAACGGGCCGACUAGACUUGGGCGGUCGAGCGGAGAUAGCGGGCAAGAAAUUGUUCAAAAUCCGAGCGGAGCAAGAAGAGUCGUUGUUGGUCAGUGGCGGACGGGUGAGUAACACGUGGGUCAUCUGCCUCGAGGUGGGGAACAACUAUUCGAAAGGGUAGCUAAUUCCGCAUGUGGUCCGAGAGGAAGAAAGGUCGGAAGACCGCCUUGAGAUGAGCCCGCGGCCGAUUAGCUAGUUGGUGAGGUAAGAGCCCACCAAGGCGACGAUCGGUAGCUGGUCUGAGAGGAUGAUCAGCCACACUGGGAUUGAGAACGGCCCAGACUCCUACGGGAGGCAGCAGUAAGGGAUAUUGCACAAUGGGGGAAACCCUGAUGCAGCAACGCCGCGUGGGUGAAGAAGGCUUUCGAGUCGUAAAACCCUUUUCUAGGGGAAGAGGAAGGACAGUACCCUAGGAACAAGUCUCGGCUAACUACGUGCCAGCAGCCGCGGUAAGACGUAGGAGGCGAGCGUUAUCCGGAUUCAUUGGGCGUAAAGGGCAAGUAGGCGGUUGUCAAAGUUGGGCGUGACAUCUCCUGGCUUAACUAGGAGGGGUCGUUCAAAACUAGGCGACUAGAGGGCAGAAGAGGAAAGCGGAACUCCUGAUGUAGCGGUGGAAUGCUCAGAUAUCAGGAAGAACACCAGUGGCGAAGGCGGCUUUCUGGUCUGCACCUGACGCUGAGAGGCGAAGGCCAGGGUAGCGAACGGGCUUAGAUACCCCGGUAGUCCUGGCAGUAAACGGUGGAUACUAGGUAUCAGGGGUCAAGGCCUUUGGUGCCGAAGCCAACGCGUUAAGUAUCCCGCCUGGGGACUACGGCCGCAAGGUUAAAACUCAAAGGAAUUGACGGGGACCCGCACAAGCAGCGGAGCGUGUGGUUUAAUUCGAUGCAACACGAAGAACCUCACCUGGGUUUGACAUAUACGUAGUAGGGAACCGAAAGGGGACCGACGCUUCGGCGAGCGUAUACAGGUGCUGCAUGGCUGUCGUCAGCUCGUGCCGUGAGGUGUUAGGUUAAGUCCUACAACGAGCGCAACCCUUGUUGCCAGUUACAAGUUACUGGCGAGACUGCUGGCAUAUAACCAGAGGAAGGUGGGGAUGACGUCAAGUCAGCAUGGCCUUUAUAUCCAGGGCUACACACACGCUACAAUGGCCGGUACAGAGGGCAGCAAAGUCGCGAGGCGGAGCGAAUCUCACAAAGCCGGUCUCAGUUCAGAUUGCAGGCUGCAACCCGCCUGCAUGAAGUCGGAGUUGCUAGUAACCGCAGGUCAGCAAUACUGCGGUGAAUACGUUCCCGGGUCUUGUACACACCGCCCGUCACGUCAUGGGAGCUGGCAAUACCUAAAGUCGGUGAGCCGACCGCAAGGGGGCAACUGCCUAAGGUAGGGUUAGUGACUGGGACGAAGUCGUAACAAGGUAGCCGUACCGGAAGGUGCGGCUG